GCCCUUCUCUCCACUGCUACUGCUGGAGAAAGUUGCCUCCCUCCCUGAGCCCAGCACUUCUACCCGCAGGAUGAGCUGACUUUGGGUUCUGUGGCCAGAGAUGGAAACCAGCAUUGUUUUUCACUAUAGGAUGCACAGGCUGGGUUGCAGACCAGAGGCGGGCAAAGUUUCAUGACAGAGACUGUCUCCAGGAUGCUUCCCAGAAAGUGCCUGCACGAUACCAGCCCUCUUCUCUUCCUUCCCUGGACUUGGCAGGGUCUCACUAGGUGGUGCAGGCUGCCCUCACAGUACCUGGCACACAGCUGGAGCACAGCAAGAAUGUGAGACACCAAGGAAUGAAAGGGUUCACCCUCCAAGAAGCUGGGAGUCAGAGCCCUGUGUCCUCACCGAAUGUGAUGGCCUCAGGGGUGAAUCCAGCAGGUCACAGAUGAGGAUCCGCAGGCUGGAAGCGGGGAGCAGAGCGAGAAAGCGCAGGAUGGCUAAGAUCUCAGGCCAUAUGCUCACCGCCUGGCCUCCAAGCCCAGUGCCGCCAAUGGCGUGCUGGGUUACCUUGGGUAAGUAACUUCAUCUCUGUGAGUUUCCAUCUCUGAAAGGGAAGCCUUGAGAAUGUUAGGUUUUAUUAUUACCAGCUAUUUUUAAUGACAGUCUGAAGACUUGCCCUGCCCCAGUGGAUUAGCCAGUGUAGAAGCAUUUUGCAGUGGUCAUUUCUGAAUCGUCGCUCAUUCGGCCGUUUCCCUCAG
rnacentral:lncRNA from 1 species